GGGGUUAUAGCUCAGUGGUAGAGCAUUCGAUUAUACAUCGAGAGGUCCCCGGAUCGAAUCCUGGUGACCCCU